rnacentral:rRNA from 1 species
CACGUAGGGUGCGAGCGUUGUCCGGAAUUAUUGGGCGUAAAGAGCUCGUAGGCGGUGUGUCGCGUCGGCCGUGAAAACCUGCAGCUUAACUGUGGGCUUGCGGUCGAUACGGGCAUCACUGGAGUUCGGACAGGGGAGACUGGAAUUCCUGGUGUAGCGGUGAAAUGCGCAGAUAUCAGGAGGAACACCGGUGGCGAAGGCGGUUCUCUGGGAAUGUCCUGACGCUGAGGAGCGAAAGUGUGGGGAGCGAACAGG